rnacentral:rRNA from 1 species
UACGGAGGGUGCAAGCGUUAUCCGGAUUCACUGGGUUUAAAGGGUGCGUAGGUGGGCAGGUAAGUCAGUGGUGAAAUCUUUGGGCUUAACCCGAAAACUGCCAUUGAUACUAUUUGUCUUGAAUAUUGUGGAGGUCAGCGGAAUAUGUCAUGUAGCGGUGAAAUGCUUAGAUAUGACAUAGAACACCAAUUGCGAAGGCAGCUGGCUAAACUGUAACUGACGCUGAGGCACGAAAGCGUGGGUAGCAAACAGG